GAGGCAUGUGAGGGCUGUCGCUGACUUUUUAACGCAAAAGGUCGUGCACGCCCGGAGCGUGUCCUCUCGCAUAAAAUCCAUCUCACCCUUUUGUGCACCACCGCGUGGGCACCCUUUGGGAUCAAACCGAUCCAGGAGGGCGCUUGCGUUUUCACACAAACCCCCUUUUAAAAGUGUAGAAUGACCCCAUUUUUGCGAUAACACGCAAUCAAAUACAACUUUCAACAACGGAUCUCUUGGCUCUCGCAUCGAUGAAGAACGCAGCGAAAUGCGAUACGUAAUGUGAAUUGCAGAAUUCAGUGAAUCAUCGAAUCUUUGAACGCACCUUGCGCCCCUUGGUAUUCCGAGGGGCACACCCGUUUGAGUGUCGUGAAAAUCUCAACCUCCUCGGUUUCUUCUGGACGCCGAAGGAGGCUUGGACUUUGGAGGCCUUUGCUGGCGUCUCUCGCCAGCUCCUCUCAAAUGAAUUAGCGGGGUCCUCUUUGCCGAUCCUCGACGUGUGAUAAGAUGUUUCCAUGUCUUGGUUUCUGGCUCUGUCGCCUUUGGGACCCGCUUCUAACCGUCUCAAGUCGAGACAACGUUUGAGCGUGUCUCCCUUCUCGGGAAACACCCUCGAGCCCACGAANCCNUGA
rnacentral:rRNA from 1 species